GAGUUUGAUCAUGGCUCAGAUUGAACGCUGGCGGCAGGCCUAACACAUGCAAGUCGAGCGGAUGACAGGAGCUUGCUCCUGAAUUCAGCGGCGGACGGGUGAGUAAUGCCUAGGAAUCUGCCUGGUAGUGGGGGACAACGUUUCGAAAGGAACGCUAAUACCGCAUACGUCCUACGGGAGAAAGCAGGGGACCUUCGGGCCUUGCGCUAUCAGAUGAGCCUAGGUCGGAUUAGCUAGUUGGUGAGGUAAUGGCUCACCAAGGCGACGAUCCGUAACUGGUCUGAGAGGAUGAUCAGUCACACUGGAACUGAGACACGGUCCAGACUCCUACGGGAGGCAGCAGUGGGGAAUAUUGGACAAUGGGCGAAAGCCUGAUCCAGCCAUGCCGCGUGUGUGAAGAAGGUCUUCGGAUUGUAAAGCACUUUAAGUUGGGAGGAAGGGCAGUAACUUAAUACGUUGCUGUUUUGACGUUACCGACAGAAUAUAGCACCGGCUAACAC
rnacentral:rRNA from 2 species